rnacentral:rRNA from 1 species
CUGAGAGGGUGAUCGGCCACAUUGGGACUGAGACACGGCCCAGACUCCUACGGGAGGCAGCAGUGGGGAAUAUUGCACAAUGGGGGAAACCCUGAUGCAGCAACGCCGCGUGAGUGAUGAAGGUCUUCGGAUUGUAAAACUCUGUCUUCAGGGACGAUAAUGACGGUACCUGAGGAGGAAGCCACGGCUAACUACGUGCCAGCAGCCGCGGUAAUACGUAGGUGGCAAGCGUUGUCCGGAUUUACUGGGCGUAAAGGGAGCGUAGGUGGAUAUUUAAGUGGGAUGUGAAAUACUCGGGCUUAACCUGAGUGCUGCAUUCCAAACUGGAUACCUAGAGUGCAGGAGAGGAAAGUAGAAUUCCUAGUGUAGCGGUGAAAUGCGUAGAGAUUAGGAAGAAUACCAGUGGCGAAGGCGACUUUCUGGACUGUAACUGACACUGAGGCUCGAAAGCAUGGGUAGCAAACAGGAUUAGAUACCCUGGUAGU